rnacentral:tRNA from 3 species
UCCUCCUUAGUUCAGUCGGUAGAACGGCGAACAUCCAAUCCGUAGAUAACGGGUUAAAGUCCUUGGGAGGAGCCA